UACGUAGGGUGCAAGCGUUAAUCGGAAUUACUGGGCGUAAAGCGUGCGCAGGCGGUUCUAUAAGACAGAUGUGAAAUCCCCGGGCUCCAACCUGGGAACUGCAUUUGUGACUGUAGAGCUGGAGUACGGCAGAGGGGGAUGGGAAUUCCGCGUGUAGCAGUGAAAUGCGUAGAUAUGCGGAGGAACACCGAUGGCGAAGGCAAUCCCCUGGGCCUGUACUGACGCUCAUGCACGAAAGCGUGGGGAGCAAACAGG
rnacentral:rRNA from 1 species